rnacentral:rRNA from 1 species
UACGGGGGGGGCAAGCGUUGUUCGGAAUUACUGGGCGUAAAGGGCUCGUAGGUGGCCAACUAAGUCAGACGUGAAAUCCCUCGGCUUAACCGGGGAACUGCGUCUGAUACUGGAUGGCUUGAGUUUGGGAGAGGGACGCGGAAUUCCAGGUGUAGCGGUGAAAUGCGUAGAUAUCUGGAGGAACACCGGUGGCGAAGGCGGCGUCCUGGACCAACACUGACACUGAGGAGCGAAAGCAUGGGGAGCGAACAUG